GGGCGAUUAGCUCAGUUGGUAGAGUAUCUCGUUUACACCGAGAAUGUCGGCGGUUCAAGUCCGUCAUCGCCCACCA
rnacentral:tRNA from 3 species